GAUGAACGCUGGCGGCGUGCCUAAUACAUGCAAGUAGAACGCUGAAGGAAGGAGCUUGCUCUUUCCGGAUGAGUUGCGAACGGGUGAGUAACGCGUAGGUAACCUGCCUGGUAGCGGGGGAUAACUAUUGGAAACGAUAGCUAAUACCGCAUAACAGUAGAUGUUGCAUGAUAUCUACUUAAAAGGUGCAAUUGCACCACUACCAGCUGGACCUGCGUUGUAUUAGCUAGUUGGUGAGGUAACGGCUCACCAAGGCGACGAUACAUAGCCGACCGGAGAGGGCGAUCGGCCACACUGGGACGGAGACACGACACAUACUCCUACGGGAGGGAGCAGUAGGGAAUCUUCGGCAAUGGACGGAAGUCUGACCGAGCAACGCCGCGGGAGUGAAGAAGAUUUUCGGAUCGGGAAGCUCGGUUGUAAGAGAAGAACGAGUGUGAGAGUGGAAAGUUCACUCUGUGACGGUAUCUUACCAGAAAGGAACGGCUAACUACGUG
rnacentral:rRNA from 1 species